AUAGUGGUUCACCAUGUGCCAUUAUGUGCAGGAUAGUGGUUCACUAUGUGCCAUUACGUGCAGGAUAGUGGUUCACCAUGUGCCAUUACAUGCAGGAUAGUGGUUCACUAUGUGCCAUUACGUGCAGGAUAGUGGUUCACCAUGUGCCAUUACAUGCAGGGUAGUGGUUCACUAUGUGCCAUUACAUGCAGGGUAGUGGUUUACUAUGUACCAUUAUAUGCAGGAUAGUGGUUCACUAUGUGCCAUUACAUGCAGGAUAGUGGUUCACCAUGUGCCAUUACAUGCAGGGUAGUGGUUCACUAUGUGCCAUUACAUGCAGGAUAGUGGUUCACUAUGUGCCACACAUGCAGGAUAGUGGUUCACCAUGUGCCAUUACAUGCAGGAUAGUGGUUCACUAUGUGUCAGUACUUGCAGGAUAGUGGUACACUAUGUGCCAUUACGUGCAGGAUAGUGGUUCACUAUGUACCAUUAUAUGCAGGGUAGUGGUUCACUAUGUACCAUUAUAUGCAGGGUAGUGGUUCACUAUGUACCAUUACGUGCAGGAUAGUGGUUCACUAUGUGCCAUUACGUGCAGGAUAGUGGUUCACCAUUGUGCCAUUACAUGCAGGUUAGUGGUUCACUAUGUGCCAUUAUAUGCAGGAUAGUGGUUCACUAUGUGUCAGUACUUGCAGGAUAGUGGUACACUAUGUACCAUUACGUGCAGGAUAGUGGUUCACUAUGUGCCACACAUGCAGGAUAGUGGUUCACCAUGUGCCAUUACAUGCAGGGUAGUGGUUCACUAUGUGCCAUUACAUGCAGGGUAGUGGUUCACUAUGUGCCACACAUGCAGGAUAGUGGUUCACUAUGUGCCAUUACGUGCAGGAUAGUGGUUCACCAUGUGCCACACAUGCAGGAUAGUGGUUCACUAUUGGUAAGAUGGUGGUAUUCAGUAUAUUAUGAGAAGUGCUAGGUGGAUGUAAACCUCCCACAAAUGUACCGGGUGUUCCUGAUACACCUGCUGCUGAUCUUUGAGGACAUUGUCUCUUGUUUGUUUUCAUGUAUAGAUAUAUAUCCCUGUUUGUAUUAAGGUAUAUUUCACAUGAAGGUUGCAGUAAGCCAUUAGAAGUAAAUUACUUCAGCAUUUCAAUCUAUUUUUUUCAGCCCUCACGUUUUAGUUCUUGAAUUGAUUGGAUACCAAAAGUAAAAGCUUUGUACUGUUGUUGUAUGGUGGCUACUGAUUGCUGGCAGCUUGAUUCAAUGUAUGAACUACAUUCCGGUGAGAGCUCCCCUAAACACUAGGCAUGCAGUAGUCUGACCAGAUGUUACAAUUGGUCACUUCACACAUAGGAAGUUAGUACGUCAGCAAAGUGCUACCAGUUUGUUGCAUCAAGUGGUCCUCUCAAUAGCAUACCAGCUUGUUGCAAUAGUUACUUUGUGUUAUGUUAGGCCUUGUUUUUAUCAAAUGACCUAAUUCUACGAAGUGCCAUUCCACAUAUCUGAUAGCAUCAAAUUCGGAAAUGCAGCACAGAUGAGCCGCUGUGCUGGACAUUGAGGUAAUUAUUAGCUUUAUUAUACACCUGUAGCUGACUCCUUGUAUCUCUAUGUAUCUGCCAGCUUCAAUCAGUGGUUUCAAACCACCAUAACUUAUUCAUUAAACACAUCAAUUUGGUGCUUUGUAAAUUUUGUUGAUAUCAAACAGAAAAUGUGAUUGGUGUGAAGCAAUUGCAGGUCCUGUUGCAGUUUCCGUGUUGUGUAAAGUUGGUUGCAAUGUAGAGGGCUGGUGCAUUGUUCCAGCCUGGACUGACUGUGUACAUGGAUUCCGUAUGCAAGGGAUGGUGUCAAUCAAAAUGAGAGUACAUGUGAUAUGCUUUUAUUCAGUGUAGACCAUCAUGUGUGUUAUCAAUCAUCAUAUGAAAUAAACUGUUAUAUAAACAA
rnacentral:lncRNA from 1 species